ACUGUAACCUGAAGCUGAGAGCUGACAUUGUCCCAGAAUAGAGUCCAGAGCGCCUCCUCCGCCGCGCGCUAUAAGAGCGGCGCGCGCGUGGGAACCGUUUGGCUCAAGAUCCCUCCGCCAGGACAAUAACAUACAGUUUAGACACGAGUAUCCAGAGCGGCUCAGGUCUUUGCCUUCUUGUGUGAUUUAAACGAAGACGAUGGUCUUUAAUGGUUUGAGCUCAAGAUAUCCCAAAAGGAAUACACCAGCCCUCUUUUUCUUUACACCUGAAGCCACGUAGAGAGAAAUCACUAUCCUUCACGGAGUUUCCACCUAAAAUGCUCAAAGCUCACCAAUGCUUUCCGUCUGAUCAUGUGGGGACCAUUAUGCCAGGCCUGCUACCAUUACAGAAGUGCACUGACACACCCCUCUACAUGACAGAGCCUGGCAUUUGGACUUGUUGCUGAUAACAGUCUGGAUGGUCCUUUUUGUCUGUGGUCUAGAGCUCUUUUUUCAAAAAAUAAAUCUGGGAUACUGAUUUGUCUGAUUACAAUACACUGGGUUUCACUGUGUGCUGAUUCAUCCCAGAUGCCCCCAAGCCCAGAGAAGUUGACGCCUCUUCUGGACAUGGUUAAUCUAAGGCUUGUGUUGUGUACAGUAAAGUUGUAAGUGGUAUUAGUGAAUAUAGUAACUUUGUAUUGUAGGUGUUCAUGUGGUUCUAUCAGAUAUAGUUGAAUGAUGGUUCUUGACGCAGGUAUUAUUCACCAACUGAUCAUAAAAGCAUUUCUUCUAAAACAUUUUUUUUUUCUUUAUAUUGAAGAUUGUUGAUACACUUCUGCCUGUGAAUUUCCUCUCUCAGGUUCUCAGCACCUCAGUACUAAUGUGGGUAUGUGAGCAAGAGCCUCCCUGAACACAUUUCAGCCAAGUCACACUGGCAUUAGAGCAACAUCUCCCUGUAUGGCCACUGACAACAGCGUGAUAUAUGCACCAGUGUACCCAGUGCAGUGAUCUGUGACAGGUAGACACGGCCCUCAAAAUAAAAGAUAAAUCACUGAGAGAGAGAGAGAGAGAGAGAGAGAGAGAGACAGAGAGAGAGAGAGGAGAGAGAGAGUAGAAGAGAGAUGAGAGCGAGCCAGAGAAGAGAGUUAGAGAGAGAGAGAGAGAGAGAGAGAGAGAGAAAGUGAGAGAGAGUGCAGGAGAGAGCUAACGGAGAGUGAGAGUGGAAAGAGAGAGUUAGAGGAGAGAGAAAGUGAGAGAGAGAGAGUGCGAGAGACUUAGAGAAGAGAGAGAGAGAAAGUGAGAGAGAGUGCAUGAGAGAGCUAAAGGAGAGAUAGAGAGAGAUGAGACAGAGAAGAUAGAGAGAGAGAAAGAAAGAGAGAGAGAUGAGACAGAGAAGAUAGAGAGAGAGAAAGAGAGAGAAAUGAGACAGAGAAGAUAGAGAUAGAGAAAGAGAGAGAGAGUGGAAGAGAGAGCGAAAGAGAGAGAGCACAGGAGAGAGCUAAAGGAGAGAUAGAGAGAGAGAGAAAGAUGAGACAGAGGAGAAGAUAGAGAGAGAGAAAGAGAGAGAGUGGAAGAGAGAGUGAGAGAGAGAGAGUGCAGGAGAGAGCUAACGGAGAGAUAGAGAGAGAGAGCGAGAGAGAGCUAACGGAGAGAGAGUGAAAGAGAGAGUUAGUUAGUUAGAGAGAGAGAGGUGAGGAAGAGAGAGAGAGAGUAUAUGAUUUCUAAUGCUCUGAACACUGCGCGAGAGUAACUCAUGCACUGGUAAGAUAUAGUGUUGAUGUGAGUGGGUGUUCUGGCCGGUGUUCUAAAGAGGGGAGCAGAUGUGUUUUAUGUAACACCAGUUCAGUGGACCC